GAUGAACGCUGGCGGCGUGCCUAAUACAUGCAAGUCGAGCGAACAGACGAGGAGCUUGCUCCUCUGACGUUAGCGGCGGACGGGUGAGUAACACGUGGAUAACCUACCUAUAAGACUGGGAUAACUUCGGGAAACCGGAGCUAAUACCGGAUAAUAUAUUGAACCGCAUGGUUCAAUAGUGAAAGACGGUUUUGCUGUCACUUAUAGAUGGAUCCGCGCCGCAUUAGCUAGUUGGUAAGGUAACGGCUUACCAAGGCGACGAUGCGUAGCCGACCUGAGAGGGUGAUCGGCCACACUGGAACUGAGACACGGUCCAGACUCCUACGGGAGGCAGCAGUAGGGAAUCUUCCGCAAUGGGCGAAAGCCUGACGGAGCAACGCCGCGUGAGUGAGGAAGGUCUUCGGAUCGUAAAACUCUGUUAUUAGGGAAGAACAAAUGUGUAAGUAACUAUGCACGUCUUGACGGUACCUAAUCAGAAAGCCACGGCUAACUACGU
rnacentral:rRNA from 1 species